rfam:Synergistes sp. 3_1_syn1 genomic scaffold supercont1.6, whole genome shotgun sequence.
AUAUAGUGAGAUUGUAAAAUUGAACGGUACGAAAGUAAGGGAAUUUGGUUAAAAUCCAAAGCGGCCCCGCCACUGUUACCAUGACGAAAUCGCGAGAUCACUGGGCUUAUGCCUGGGAAGAUGCGAGAGUAGGAUGACUGGAAGCCAGGAGACCUGUUCGUACCGCAGGGGAAUG